rnacentral:rRNA from 1 species
CGGGAUGAGCUCAAAUUUAAAAUCUGGCAGUCUUUUUGGCUGUCCGAGUUGUAAUUUAGAGAAGUGUUGCCCGCGCUGGACCAUAUACAAGUCCUCUGGAAUGGGGUGUCAUAGAGGGUGAGAAUCCCGUCUUUGACACGGACUGCCAGGGCAUAGUGGUGCGCUCUCGAA